UUGAAAGGCACUUACAGGAAG
rnacentral:miRNA from 1 species